ACGGAGGCAGCAGUGGGGAAUAUUGCACAAUGGGCGAAAGCCUGAUGCAGCGACGCCGCGUGAGCGAUGAAGUAUUUCGGUAUGUAAAGCUCUAUCAGCAGGGAAGAUAAUGACGGUACCUGACUAAGAAGCACCGGCUAAAUACGUGCCAGCAGCCGCGGUAAUACGUAUGGUGCAAGCGUUAUCCGGAUUUACUGGGUGUAAAGGGAGCGUAGGCGGCAUGGCAAGUCUGAUGUGAAAACCCAGGGCUCAACCUUGGGAUUGCAUUGGAAACUGUCAAGCUAGAGUGUCGGAGGGGUAAGUGGAAUUCCCAGUGUAGCGGUGAAAUGCGUAGAUAUUGGGAGGAACACCAGUGGCGAAGGCGGCUUACUGGACGAUUACUGACGCUGAGGCUCGAAAGCGUGGGGAGCAAACAGGAUUAGAUACCCUGGUA
rnacentral:rRNA from 1 species